UCUUACUCUUACAGGGUGCUUACCACCACGAUGCAGGUGGAGAAGCUCGUCUCCAAGGCGUCCAGCAGGCGGCUCUGUGGCGAGAACAACACCGAUACUCUACGGACGAGUAUAUGGGAGACUUACACCAAGAACUUGCGAAAUGGGACGUCACCACG